AUUUAUAAUCCCAACUCCCUUUCUUUCAUCUCACCAACUGUGUCAGAAAUCACCUUCAAUGUUUAAAUCCUUCCUUCAAUUCAGCUGCUUCCUUACAGCUACUUUAAAACACAGGGUGGCAAUCUUGAGCCAACAUGAGUCUUACCAGCUGGCACACGUGUUCUCUUCUUUGGUACAUAUGCUCUAAGAACCAUAUCCUGUGGUUUCUUUUCCUUUUACCAUCAAAUUUAAAUGGCAAUAACCAAUGUAUUUGUGAAGUGAAAUAUAACCCUUCACAGCAAAGUUGGCAGGGAAGCUCUGAAGGUGACUACACCAGUUUUGAAGUCCUCCAAAGAACAUUUUGGGGCUGGCAACUCAUUAUUCAUCUGGAAAAAUGUGGCUGUGGCCUCUGUUGAUCAUUAUCAUCAUUUCACUUUCAAGGAGAAGCACAGGACAGUCGGUAAAGCAAGCAUCUGGCAUUGUGACUGUUACUGAGGGAAAACAUCUCUCUCUCAGUUGUUCCUAUGAAGUUAGUAGCUCAACUUACCGAGAUACCUACUGGUACAUUCAGCACCCUGGUCAGCCUCUGAAGCUCUUGUUGAGCCAGUAUAAAAAGGAUAGCCAAGGAUUCUAUGCUACUCACCAUGAAGGAGAGAAAAAUGGGACGUACAAUUUAGAGAAAGAUGCCAGUCAGCUGAAGGACUCUGCUGUCUACUUCUGUGCCUUCAGUGAGACACAAUGAGAUAAAGCAGAAGGGGAGCCAAUCAAAAACAGGAGAAAAGAAUUAAGAGUAGAGGCAGGAGAAAUUUGAGGCACUUGGCACUUCAGAAUUGUCCUCAAGAAUGAAAAUAGCUCCUGAUUUCCUUGUCCACCACACCAGCUGGGUACUGUUUUUUGCCAGUUGAACUGAAACUGCUAUAAUCCUCAUUAUUUGCUUUCUUUUUUUCUUCUUGAGGUUCUGCAAUUUGGUUUCUCCAUGACGUUAUUCCUCUGGCAUUUUGAAGUUUUUUAAGAGACUCACUUCUUCUGCUUGUUGAUUGAGCUUUCCAGAAAUGUGACAGUUGGGAAUAACAAAGCACUAUUGCUACUAUUAUGAAACAAUAUCUAACCACAGCUUCUAGCUUUUCAGCUGGCAUUAGUGUUCAUUUUCCCAGAACCUAGACUGUUUUAUUGUAUUGGCAUCCUAUGUGUGGAUGCAAGUAAUAUGGUGCCAUUGACAGAUGGAAAUUUUGUCAGUAAAUUUUCUAAGUGCCAACAAAGUUUAUUUACUAAGUCAAAUGUCUUGGUAAACACCUGGAGUACCAUAGACAGGUUAUGCCAUAAUUUUGUUCCAGAUCCUGAAUUGUAAUGAUUGAAUUAUUAUUAUUUGAUGGAUUAACAGCCACGUUCUCGUUCCUUAGAUGAAAAAAGCAGGAUUAGAUUAAGUACGAACAUGAAAAUUUAUCCCUAUUUUUUCAGAAGCAGAAUUCUUAGGAAAGUCUUUUAUUUUUUCACUUCCUUUUGGCUACUGCCUUGCAAGGUGGGCCAGACAAGAAGUACACCUGGAUGAACAUAUAUUCUACUUUAUUGUAAGAUUACAGAAUCUUCAAGUCUGAAAGUUCAUUUCUCCUUCCUGGUCUUUACUCUGGGAGAAAAUAGGGAGGGUUCCUUCCCUUCAACAGUGGGAUCCUUCCUUCAAACCAUCUGCCUUCUCACAUUUACUUUAAAACACAGAAUGAAACUGAGAUGUAAAAAGUCAUAUAAUCCUUUAGAAUUUCUUGGGCUAGAAGUUCCUCAGUGUCUGAUACCAAGAAGAAUGACCAUCUGGGCUGGGAUAAGAGUAAAUGCUACCUAAACAUCUGGAUGCAUUUGCCUCCAUAACCAUGGCAGAGAAUGUUUUCAUAUCAUUUAGCAUUGUGAGUUGUCCAUCCAGGAGAACUUUGAACAUUAGGAUUCACCUUUCCAUUUUAAAUCAUUUCAGACUCCAAAAUGAUUCUUUCCAACUCACAUUCCAUAUGAUACAUCUCUCUCUCCCUCCCUC